UCAACUUCAGGGCAAAAAAAGUUAUUUAGAAGCAGUUGGACCAGGCAUGUACCUCUCUUACCCUGUACACAGAAUGUGCGGAAUUAGGAAAUAACCUUAAAAAAUACUGAUUGGCCCAGAGCAGGUCUUAGCUUGAACCCACAAUCCACAGGGAUUUCUCAGCCUGCAAUACAGAUACUCUCUGCAGAGGCUUGUAUGCCUGACACACACAGUGUGUGCUUCUCUUCUGGAUUUUGGUUCAAAUUGAAGUACAUUUUUAAAUCUAUUUAAUCCAUAUAUUGUGCCCAAACCCGGACCAGGACAGCAGGGCACUCUACUUUUCUACAACUCAAAGAACAACGACAACAUAAAGUUGCAGGGAUCUUCCCAAUGAUGGGCAAACAAACUUGGAUGGUGUAUUUCUUGCUGUUAUAUUUUUUCUCUGAAACGCCCAGUUAUGUAACUGUCAGUGACUUGGGUGAAUGGGUUCCCACAACGGGCAGAGCCGAAUCCGAUGGCAGAUAUUCGAGAGACCAAAGUUUUGCAGGUAAGUGAGUCUAUACUGUAUCAUUUAGAAAUGGAUUAAGUGACUCCUAUCAUUCUUCUGUUCAGACUCAUGUAAAUGCAUUGUAUCUAGGCCCCUCUGUAUUUCUCUGUACA